GACGAACGCUGGCGGCGUGCCUAAUACAUGCAAGUCGAACGCAUUUUCUUUCACCGUAUCUUGCUACACCGUAAGAAAAUGGGUGGCGAACGGUUGAGUAACACGUGGUCAACCUGCGCAUCAGCGAGGGAUAACACGUGGAAACAGGUUCUAAUACCGCGUAAUUCCAUUUACCGCAUGGUAGAUGGGUGAAAGGCGCUUUUGCGUCACUGAUGGAGGGUGCCGCGGGGCAUUUGCUAGUCGGUGGGGUAACGGACUACCCAGGCUGGGAUGCAUAGCCGACCUGCGAUGGUGGUCGGCCAGACUGGGAGUGUGACACGGCCCAGAGUCCUUCGGGAGGCAGCAGUAGGGAAUCUUGGGCAAUGGACGCAAGUCAGACCAAGCAACGCCGCGUGAGUGAAGAAGGUUUUCGGGUCGUAGAACUCUGUUGUUAGAGAAGAAACAGGAUGCGAGUGGAAAGUUCAUCCCUUGACGGUAUCUAACAAGAAAGCCACGGCUAACUACGUG
rnacentral:rRNA from 1 species